rnacentral:piRNA from 1 species
UCUUUGAUCUAAAUUUUUAAU